AAAAAAAGUCAAUUGUAAACCUUCAUUACUCCAACUCUCCAAGGCGGCAAGGCCUCCACCGCGAAACAUUAACCGCCAUAAAUAAAGCACUCCUCGACCCUCGUUGCCGUCACGGUGAUAAUUCCGACCUAGUACUCCAUCCUUCUUUUUUCUCUCUCCAAACCACCCUGUAUAAAACUAACAAUCCGAUCAAAACCCUAAGCCUAGAUAAUGUUUUUUCUUUCUUCUGUUCUUAGUUCUCCCCUCAAAUUUCAUGAAAACUUCGAUCAAACUCUUCACUUUGCGGAAGAAUUCCGUCUUCGAAACGUCAAUUAGUCUUCGAAACAGUGUCAAUUAGUAUCUGAGACGGGAAUUCUAGGGUUUCGGAGGCGAUUCCGGUAUUCACGUGUUUCAGGCAACGAAACAGUGAAAAUUACACAGAGACAGUAAUGCUAGGGUUUCAUCGGGGGUCAUUCGGCACAUUACCGUCUUCUAUGGCAUCGAAGUAGACGAAUUAUACACCAAAGUUCAGUCAUCCCACGGUGUAAGCAUUUACUGAGCUAUUCGAGAGAUUAUGGAUGCAAGAGGUCAAACAUAGCUUCUUUUUCGCGGUCCUUUGUCAUAACUCUCUGCUGCUUAUUAAAAGAGGUCCAACUGCCCACGCGCCAAGGAACUGGUUUAGCAGAUAGCUAAAGAAUCCCGCUUUCCACCAGAUGGCUGAGCAAUUGCAGCAAACCCUUCAAGACUAUCUGGAACCACAAUAACCCUUCAGGACUAUCUGGAACCACAAUUUGAUCCUCAGCAGUAUUCUUGCACUUGCAGCAAGCCAACACAUGAUAGAGAAUCCUCCUUAUAUGAACGUCUUGGUAGGGCUUCGAGGCAGGUUUGAACCUUCUAAUUGCUUGAAGUAGAGACGGAGAGCAAGGUGUUGUGCAUAAAUGUUUCCAAGUCAAGAAAUUAUGUAAAAGUUCAAGUGGACUUUCUGGUCAUUUCAAGUUGGAGGCAUUUCUUUUCCUGUUGUAAGGAGCAAUUUUUUCAGAGGAAACAAGCCGUCAAUGUAAAACUUGGACUUUUGUUUUGACUAGUUGUUGGAUCGUGAGCUAGCGCGCACGAUCCCUCAAGGUAUACAAAAUUAUUUUUGUAAAAAUGUUACUUAAAAGCUAGGAACUUAUAAUUUAUGGUAAAUGCUAGAAAAGAUAUGUUAAAGUUAGAUGUUGGAUUUACAUGUAACAGGAAAUAGAAACCAUAUGCGUUUUAAUUGAUA